GAUGAACGCUGACAGAAUGCUUAACACAUGCAAGUCAACUGUGGCGGACGGGUGAGUAACGCGUAAAGAACUUGCCUCACAGAUAGGGACAACAUUUGGAAACGAGUGCUACUACCUGAUAUUGUGAGAGAGCUUGGCGUCCCAUUAGCUAGUUGGAGAGGUAACGGCUCACCAAGGCGAGGAUGGGUAGCCGGCCUGGGAGGGUGAUCGGCCACAAGGGGACUGGGAAGCGGCCCUUACUGCAACGGGAGGCAGCAGGGGGAAAUAUUGGACAAUGGACCAAAGUCUGAUCCAGCAAUUCUGUGUGAACGAUGAAGUUUUCGGAAUGUAAAGUGAUUUCAGUUGGGAAGCGGUACCAACAGAAGAAGUGACGGCUAAAUACGUGCCAGCAGCCGCGGUAAUUC
rnacentral:rRNA from 1 species